GGGCAAUAAUAAUUGACUGAAGCAAUCACUGCUGUGGGAAAACAAACGUCCUGGCAGUGUCGCAUCUGAAGGUCAAGCCUGAUGACAUAAGACUCUGUGUGGCUCCUUUUCCUGUUUGUUACCCACCAUCUCUGAAUUCAUCCCUAUGAAUAUGUAUUCACGGGUCCUUUGCUAAUCCUCACAACAGUGCAGUUUAGCGUUGUCUCGCUGAAUAAAAGCCAUGGAGAAGGUGCUGUCCAAGAAAAACAAAUUGGUCAUUCUAAUGAUGACCAGCAGGAAUGCAGUUCAGUCACAGAGACUUCAGAUUCCUGCUGAAGAAAAGAGCAAGUCAGAUGUCCUGCAGUACUGUAAGUGUUACCAAGCGAUUUCCCAUCUCCAGAUAAUAGCAACAAAGAGCCCAUUAGACUUGUCCUGAAAGGCUGAAUGCCAUGUCUGCUGAAUCAUCACACCAGAAUUAUAAUAUUUUAAGAGCUAUACUAUACAGAAUUAUUUUGCAUUAAAAAGAUAUGCUUAAUACCUAGCGUACUGCUUGU